AUACGGAGGGGGCUAGCGUUGUUCGGAAUUACUGGGCGUAAAGCGCACGUAGGCGGCUUUGUAAGUUAGAGGUGAAAGCCCGGGGCUCAACUCCGGAACUGCCUUUAAGACUGCAUCGCUUGAACAUCGGAGGGGUAAGUGGAAUUCCGAGUGUAGAGGUGAAAUUCGUAGAUAUUCGGAAGAACACCAGUGGCGAAGGCGACUUACUGGACACAUAUUGACGCUGAGGUGCGAAAGCGUGGGGAGCAAACA
rnacentral:rRNA from 1 species